rnacentral:rRNA from 1 species
CAGUCGCCGCGGGAAUACGAAGGGUGCAAGCGUUAAUCGGAAUUACUGGGCGUAAAGCGUGCGCAGGCGGUUUUGUAAGUUUGUCGUGAAAGCCCCGGGCUCAACCUGGGAAUUGCGAUGAAGACUGCAAGGCUUGAAUCUGGCAGAGGGGGGUAGAAUUCCACGUGUAGCAGUGAAAUGCGUAGAGAUGUGGAGGAACACCGAUGGCGAAGGCAGCCCCCUGGGUCAAGAUUGACGCUCAUGCACGAAAGCGUGGGGAGCAAACAGGAUUAGAUACCCCAGUAGUCCCUGUCUCUUAUAC